GAAUUUGUGGAGACUGGAGUAUAGAGUAUAGGCUGAGUAGAGCGUUCUGUCAUCGAGUUGGGGUCCUUGGGGAAGGUAGCUUGUUGCUUCUCCCCCGUUUAGCGUUUGUAAUGUAAGACAAUUCCCUCGUAGAAGGGUAGCAACUAUAGAAGGGUUCAGUCAGGAGCUAGGUGCUUACCUUAACAUUAUAGCCAGCAGAAGGUUUUGAUGAACCGCCAAAUCAAUAGUUUCCACAAACAAGAGAUUCCAUUCCUCAAACUUGGCCAACCUCGUCUCUGAACACUAUCGAGGAAUCAUUAGUCUACUACCCCGAAUGCCAUCUACUGCCGAAGUUGACUUAAUUUGAAGUCUUAGGCUAAGGCUGGAAUUGGCAUAAUGAUGUAUGCACCACAACUAGACUAUAGGUCAGUUAUAGAAGGAUGAGCUGUGAGAAUCAUUCACCCGUGCACGUCAGUGAUAAACUGCUAAGAUGUCUUAGUCGUUUCAUCUUAAACACUUUACGGAAUAUUCAGGUUAUCAUAAGGAUACACGUGGAUGUUAUAUUGGGAUGCGUGCUGAGGCAGCCUGACAGUGAUUAGUGUAUUAAAUUUGUAAACUGUCUUUAUGUGGUCAAUAAAUCCUUAUGAAUAAUUAUAUACAUGUUUUUUACUAUGCCCACAAUACAUUUGAAAGCAAAAACAGGGAAACGGAGAAAAAGAGUGCGUGUUUCUAUGGAAUCAGGAACUGUUAUUAAAUAAAUAUAUAACACAUCGGUUUUAC